UGAGGAAAGGUCCGGACAAGGCUGAUCUUUCCUUGCCCACGGGCUCAUCCCUGGUUCAUUCCCUUCACUGGACCUUACUACAUCUUUUCACAGAGACUGACUGGCACCUCUUCUUGGAUAUCUUUUCCAUUUUCAGGGAAUGUUGUUGAUUGGAACACUACAUCUGAAUUUCCAGAGUCUGGAGCCAAAAGAAGUAAGUUUCAAGUUCGUGGUGUUACACAGAGGUGCCAGAGUUCACCUAAAACCUAUGAGAGAG
rnacentral:lncRNA from 1 species